rnacentral:rRNA from 1 species
UACGUAGGGGGCAAGCGUUGUCCGGAUUUAUUGGGCGUAAAGAGCGUGUAGGCGGCCAGGUAGGUCUGCUGUGAAAACUCGAGGCUUAACCUCGAGCUGUCGGCGGAAACCAUCUGGCUAGAGUCCGGAAGAGGAGAGUGGAAUUCCUGGUGUAGCGGUGAAAUGCGUAGAUAUCUGGAGGAAUACCGGUGGCGAAGGCGGCAUCCUGGACCGACAUUGACGCUGAGGAGCGAAAGCCAGGGGAGCAAACGGG